rnacentral:rRNA from 1 species
UGGGGAAUUUUGGACAAUGGGGGAAACCCUGAUCCAGCCAUCCCGCGUGUGCGAUGAAGGCCUUCGGGUUGUAAAGCACUUUUGGCAGGAAAGAAACGUCGCGGGUUAAUACCCCGCGAAACUGACGGUACCUGCAGAAUAAGCACCGGCUAACUACGUGCCAGCAGCCGCGGUAAUACGUAGGGUGCAAGCGUUAAUCGGAAUUACUGGGCGUAAAGCGUGCGCAGGCGGUUCGGAAAGAAAGAUGUGAAAUCCCAGAGCUUAACUUUGGAACUGCAUUUUUAACUACCGGGCUAGAGUGUGUCAGAGGGAGGUGGAAUUCCGCGCGUAGCAGUGAAAUGCGUAGAUAUGCGGAGGAACACCGAUGGCGAAGGCAGCCUCCUGGGAUAACACUGACGCUCAUGCACGAAAGCGUGGGGAGCAAACAGGAUUAGAUACCCUGGUAGUCCACGCCCUAAACGAUGUCAACUAGCUGUUGGGGCCUUCGGGCCUUGGUAGCGCAGCUAACGCGUGAAGUUGACCGCCUGGGGAGUACGGUCGCAAGAUUAAAACUCAAAUGAAUUGACGGGGUCAUAGCUGUUUCC